rnacentral:sRNA from 1 species
CAGAUACUUACUGAUGGACUCUAAGUCCAGG